UGCUUUCUUAUUUUGCAGUCGUUAUCCAGCAGCCAAGACGCAGACUGUUACGAGGUCACAAACAGCACACAGGGAAACAAUUGGGGCCAUACGAAUCAAAAUUUUGAGAAUGAUAGCAGCUGGGACAUACCGAUGGGGGAAUAUUCAAAUUCAGGUGUGCCUCAUCAAAGGCAAAUGCAGCCAAUGAAUUUCAGGAGGUCAAACAGGAAAUAGCUACGAGUCUGAAAUACAUGAAAUGACGAAUAUUUAUAUAGAUAUUUUUGUAUAUAUUUUUAUACCUUUUCCACAAGAACUUUUAUUUCUUUAUUAUUUAUAUACAUAUAUAUGUAUAUGUGAAUUUGCUCAACGAAAACAACAAAAGAACUAACACAAAAAACAACCACAAAAAGUAACUUAAAGAACCCGAGAGGCCUGCAUGGGGUGGAUGUAGGUGUCUCCAAAAUCAAGCUAGACCUUUUUCUGUCAGGUGUCCCAGAUGAACCAGCUUCGCGGCAGGAGGUGCAGAUGAGGGCAGCUGCAUCAAACUCUCUCAUGCACCAAAUGCCAAUUACUAAAAAGCAUUCGUGAAGUAAAAUCAUGUAGCAACACCAAAUGGCGGUGCCCCAGCAUGGCCACAGCUCGUGAGCUGAAACUAGAUGAAAUGAAAAAAAAAAAAAGAAAAUACGUGUUUUUCACCUUCCAGGUAAUUAAUUGCUGGAAAAUAUUAUACCUGAAUUAUCCAAUCGUUUUUUGUACAAAAUUAACUCUUUGCUUUUCCAAAGCAUUUUCACAUGUUUGUCCUAAACGUCCAUGCUUGUUUUUCAGACUUUAGUUCACUCUUGUUAUGAAAUAGCACAUGACCUUUUGGUUAGGGAAUUGCACGCGCAACCACGAGAUCGUGAUUUCAACUCCUGAACAAGCUGGAGAGUUGCGUUCUUAAUCAAAACCCGUCGUCUCACGUUGUUCUGCGUCCACCCCGACACUCGACGCGUGGUACACCGUGUACCCUGAUGAGGCUACGUUGAUUUGAUGAAGGGAGUGAGUUAAUGUACAGUACAAGCAUUUGUUUACUUUAAACAAAUAAUUUAAACAAAAAUACGAGAGACUGAUAAUCCUUAUUUCAUACGUUUUGAGUAACGUAAAGCUUUCCUUUCAUAAGUUCCAAGUUACUCUGGUUGUUGAAACAGAUUGAGAAAGUCUAUCAUAUACGAUGCAUGGACACCAAGGAAAUAUGUCCUGCGUAUUACAUGUGAUACACAGGACAGAUAAACAAAAGCUUAGCAUAUCGGAUCAAAUUUAAACCAUGGUCUGAUGCUAUAUUUCGGUGCUAUAUUUCGAUGCAACGCUCUUUCGACAUUUUAUUAUUAUUAACUAACUGAAAGGGAGCCAACUGGCAGAAACGUUAUCACGCCGGGCGAAAUGCUUCUGAGUUCAAAUUUCGACGAGGUCGACUUUGUCUUUCAUCCUUUCGGGGUCGAUAAAAUAAGUACCAGUUGAACAUUGAGGUCGAUAUAAUCGACAAAUCCCCACCUCUUACCAAGCUGCCGUCGUGAUAAAAAUUAGAAAUAAUUAUUAACUAACUGAAAGGAGGUGAGCUGGCAGAAUCGUUAGCACGCCGGGCGAAAUGCUUAGUGGUAUUUCACCUGUCU